rnacentral:rRNA from 1 species
ACGCUCGACACCUACGGGAUGCAGCAGUUGGGAAUAUUGGACAAUGGAGGAAACUCUGAUCCAGUGACGCCGCGUGAAGGAAGAAGGUCUUCGGAUUGUAAACUUAUUUUGUCAGGGAAGAAAAAAUGACUGUACCUGAAGAAAAAGCACCGGCUAACUACGUACCAGCAGCCGCGGUAAUCUGAGCGGGCUGGCAAGGC